UUGGGAAUCUUGCACAAUGGGGGGAACCCUGAUGCAGCGACGCCGCGUGGAGGAUGAAGGAUCUAGGUCUGUAAACUCCUUUUUCAGGGAAAGACUUAGGACGGUACCCUGAGAAUAAGGACCGGCUAACUACGUGCCAGCAGCCGCGGUAAGACGUAGGGUCCAAGCGUUGUCCGGAUUUACUGGGCGUAAAGAGCGCGUAGGCGGCUCGAUAAGUGUGAAGUGAAAUCUCGAGGGCUCAACCCAGAAACCGCUUUACAUACUGCCGAGCUGGAGUGAUGCAGAGGUUUGUGGAAUUCCUGGUGUAACGGUGAAAUGUGUUGAUAUCAGGAGGAACACCCAUGGCGAAGGCAGCAAACUGGGCAUCAACUGACGCUGAGGCGCGAAAGCGUGGGUAGCAAACAG
rnacentral:rRNA from 1 species